UGGGGAAUAUUGCACAAUGGGCGCAAGCCUGAUGCAGCCAUGCCGCGUGUGUGAAGAAGGCCUUCGGGUUGUAAAGCACUUUCAGCGGGGAGGAAGGCGUUAAGGUUAAUAACCUUGGCGAUUGACGUUACCCGCAGAAGAAGCACCGGCUAACCCCGUGCCAGCAGCCGCGGUAAUACGGAGGGUGCAAGCGUUAAUCGGAAUUACUGGGCGUAAAGCGCACGCAGGCGGUCUGUCAAGUCGGAUGUGAAAUCCCCGGGCUCAACCUGGGAACUGCAUUCUAAACUGGCAGGCUAGAGUCUUGUAGAGGGGGGUAGAAUUCCAGGUGUAGCGGUGAAAUGCGUAGAGAUCUGGGGGAAUACCGGUGGCGAAGGCGGCCCCCUGGACAAAGACUGACGCUCUGGUGCGAAAGCGUGGGGAGCAAACAGG
rnacentral:rRNA from 1 species